rnacentral:rRNA from 1 species
GGUGAACACGGAGCUUGCUCCUGUGGGAUCAGUGGCGAACGGGUGAGUAACACGUGAGCAACCUGCCCCUGACUCUGGGAUAAGCGCUGGAAACGGCGUCUAAUACUGGAUAUGUGACGUGAUCGCAUGGUCUGCGUCUGGAAAGAAUUUCGGUUGGGGAUGGGCUCGCGGCCUAUCAGCUUGUUGGUGAGGUAAUGGCUCACCAAGGCGUCGACGGGUAGCCGGCCUGAGAGGGUGACCGGCCACACUGGGACUGAGACACGGCCCAGACUCCUACGGGAGGCAGCAGUGGGGAAUAUUGCACAAUGGGCGCAAGCCUGAUGCAGCAACGCCGCGUGAGGGACGACGGCCUUCGGGUUGUAAACCUCUUUUAGCAGGGAAGAAGCGAAAGUGACGGUACCUGCAGAAAAAGCGCCGGCUAACUACGUGCCAGCAGCCGCGGUAAUACGUAGGGCGCAAGCGUUAUCCGGAAUUAUUGGGCGUAAAGAGCUCGUAGGCGGUUUGUCGCGUCUGCUGUGAAAUCCGGAGGCUCAACCUCCGGCCUGCAGUGGGUACGGGCAGACUAGAGUGCGGUAGGGGAGAUUGGAAUUCCUGGUGUAGCGGUGGAAUGCGCAGAUAUCAGGAGGAACACCGAUGGCGAAGGCAGAUCUCUGGGCCGUAACUGACGCUGAGGAGCGAAAGGGUGGGGAGCAAACAGGCUUAGAUACCCUGGUAGUCCACCCCGUAAACGUUGGGAACUAGUUGUGG